rnacentral:rRNA from 1 species
GAUGAACGCUGGCGGCGUGCUUAACACAUGCAAGUCGAACGGAAAGGCCCAAGCUUGCUUGGGUACUCGAGUGGCGAACGGGUGAGUAACACGUGGGUGAUCUGCCCUGCACUUCGGGAUAAGCCUGGGAAACUGGGUCUAAUACCGGAUAGGACCACUUCUUGGAUGUUGUGGUGGAAAGUUUUUUCGGUGUGGGAUGAGCUCGCGGCCUAUCAGCUUGUUGGUGGGGUAAUGGCCUACCAAGGCGUCGACGGGUAGCCGGCCUGGGAGGGUGUACGGCCACAUUGGGACUGAGAUACGGCCCAGACUCCUACGGGAGGCAGCAGUGGGGAAUAUUGCACAAUGGGCGCAGGCCUGAUGCAGCGACGCCGCGUGGGGGAUGACGGCCUUCGGGUUGUAAACUCCUUUCGCAAGGGACGAAGCGUUUUGUGACGGUACCUGGAGAAGAAGCACCGGCUAACUACGUG